GUGGAGGACCGAACCCACAAACGUUGAAAAGUUUGGGGAUGAACUGUGGUUAGGGGUGAAAGGCCAAUCAAACUUCGUGAUAGCUGGUUCUCUCCGAAAUGCAUUUAGGUGCAGCGUCACGUGUUUCUUACUGGAGGUAGAGCUACUGGAUGGCCGAGGGGUCCUACAAGAUUACCAACGUCAGCCAAACUCCGAAUGCCAGUAAGUGAGAACGUGGCAGUGAGACAGUGGGGGAUAAGCUUCAUUGUCGAGAGGGAAACAACCCAGAAUAGCAACUAAGGUCCCAAAGCCUGUGCUAAGUGGAAAAGGAUGUGAAGUCGCAUAGACAACCAGGAGGUUGGCUUAGAAGCAGCCACCCUUAAAAGAGUGCGUAAUAGCUCACUGGUCAAGUGAUUUCGCGCCGACAAUGUAACGGGGCUCAAGCACAGCACCGAAGUUCUGUCAUUCACACACUAUCCCGGUCGCAAGAUCCAGGAGUGUGGAUGGGUAGGAGAGCGUUGUGUAACUAGUGAAGCGGCGGAGGAAUCCAGCCGUGGAAGUUACACAAGUGAGAAUGUAGACAUGAGUAGCGAGAGAGGGGUGAGAAACCCCUCCGCCGAAAGACCAAGGGUUCCUGGGCCAGGCUAAUCCGCCCAGGGUAAGUCGGGACCUAAGACGAGGCCGUCAGGCGUAGUCGAUGGACAACUGGUUGAUAUUCCAGUACCCACAAUAAACCGACCGUGACGAAUCAAUAAUGCUAAGUGUUUGAAGUUGGCUAGCAAUAGCUGAUGGAGCGCACGACCCAAGUUGGUAGUAGUCAAGCAAUGGAGAGACGCAGGAAGGUAGUCCAACCCAGGCGAUGGUUGACCUGGGGUAAGAGUGUAGGAGGUUCUGUAGGAAAAUCCGCAGAACAAUCUCUGAGACUUGAUGCCGAGCCGUAAGGCGAAGUGGAUGAUCCUAUGCUGUCAAGAAAAGCAUCUAGCGAGAUUUUAAGUGACCCGUACCCGAAACCGACACAGGUGGUCAGGUAGAGAAUACCAAGGUGAUCGAGAGAAUCGUGGUGAAGGAACUCGGCAAAAUACCCCCGUAACUUCGGGAGAAGGGGGGCUAAUUUUUGUGUAGAGGUUUACCUUCGAAGCAUAAGUUAGACGCAGAGAAUAGGCUCAAGCGACUGUUUACCAAAAACACAGGUCCGUGCGAAGUUGCAAAACGAUGUAUACGGACUGACGCCUGCCCGGUGCUGGAAGGUCAAGGGGACUAGUUAGCUCUUCGGAGCGAAGCUGAGAACUUAAGCCCCAGUAAACGGCGGUGGUAACUAUAACCAUCCUAAGGUAGCGAAAUUCCUUGUCGGGUAAGU
rnacentral:rRNA from 1 species